GGCCGUUCUAUCGCUGUCCCCAAGGGGAAAGAGGAAAGUCCGGGCAACAUAGGGCAUCGUGCUUCUUAACGGGAAGAUGUUCGUAAGGACAUAGGAAACGUAACAGAAAAUAACCGUUUCACGGAUUUAUCUUAGUGGAAUAAGGGUGAAAAGGCGGGGUAAGAGCCCACCGGUGCUGUGGGUAACCAUAGUAGCCGUACGUCUCACGAGUUGCAAGGCCAUGUAUACCGGUGUUAUUGAUUGGCCCGAUCAAUGCCGGGGGGUAGGCUGCUAGAGCUGUAAAGUGAUUUACAGAGUAGAUAAAUGAUAGAAACCGCAAGGUACAGAACCCGGCUUACAGGCCUGCUAU
rnacentral:RNase_P_RNA from 1 species